UCCUUGGUGGUCCAGCGGUUAAGACUCCGCGCUUACAAUGCAGGGGUCCAGGUUCGAUCCCUGGUCAGGGAA